rnacentral:rRNA from 1 species
AUUGAACGCUGGCGGCAGGCCUAACACAUGCAAGUCGAGCGGAGCGGCGGACGGGUGAGUAAUGCCUAGGAAUCUGCCUGGGAGUGGGGGAGAACGUCCGGAAACGGGCGCUCAUACCGCAUAAUAUCAGAUGAGCCUAGGUCGGAUUAGCUAGUUGGUGGGGUAAAGGCCUACAAAGGCUACGAUCCGUAACUGGUCGGAGAGGAUGAUCAGUCAAACUGGAACUGAGACACGUUCCAGACUCCUACGGUAGUCAGCAGUGGGGAAUAUCGGACAAUGGGCGAAAGCCUGAUCCCGCCAUGCCGCGUGUGUGAAGAAGGUCUUCGGAUUGUGAAGCACUUUAAGUUGGGAGGCGUUACCAACAGAAUAAGCACCGGAUAACUUCGUGCCAGCAGCCGCGGUAAUUG